rnacentral:rRNA from 1 species
GCGCACGGGUGAGUAACACGUGAAUAAUCUACCUCCGAGUGGGGAAUAACCUAGAGAAAUCUUAGCUAAUACCGCAUAAUACCCACGGGUCAAAGCAGUAAUGCGCUUGGAGAGGAGUUCGCGGUCGAUUAGCUAGUUGGCGGGGUAAUGGCCCACCAAGGCGAUGAUCGAUAUCCGGCCUGAGAGGGCGCACGGACACACUGGAACUGAAACACGGUCCAGACUCCUACGGGAGGCAGCAGUGGGGAAUUCUGCGCAAUGGGGGAAACCCUGACGCAGCAACGCCGCGUGGAGGAUGAAGUAUCUUGGUACGUAAACUCCUUUCGAUAGGGAAGAUAAUGACGGUACCUAUAGAAGAAGCCCCGGCUAACUUCGUGCCAGCAGCCGCGGUAAUACGAGGGGGGCAAGCGUUGUUCGGAUUUAUUGGGCGUAAAGGGUGCGUAGGCGGUUUGGCAAGUCUUAUGUGAAAUCUUCGGGCUCAACCCGAAGCCUGCAUAAGAAACUGCCGGGCUUGAGUAUGGGAGAGGUGAGUGGAAUUUCCGGUGUAGCGGUGAAAUG